rnacentral:rRNA from 1 species
UACAGAGGGGGCAAGCGUUGUUCGGAAUUACUGGGCGUAAAGCGUGCGUAGACGGUUAUGUAAGUCAGAUGUGAAAGCCCCGGGCUCAACCUGGGAAUUGCAUUUGAGACUGCAUAGCUAGGGUGCGGAAGAGGGAAGCGGAAUUUCCGGUGUAGCGGUGAAAUGCGUAGAUAUCGGAAGGAACACCAGUGGCGAAAGCGGCUUCCUGGUCCAGCACCGACGUUCAGGCACGAAAGCGUGGGGAGCAAACAGG